rnacentral:ncRNA from 2 species
UGGCACGGACACGACUGGCGCAGGUGGGGCACCACCGGGGAGUGACGUCGUGGGCAUCGCCCGCCUGGGUGCCCACA